rnacentral:rRNA from 1 species
UGGGGAAUUUUGCACAAUGGGGGAAACCCUGAUGCAGCGACGCCGCGUGAUUUAGAAGGCCUUCGGGUUGUAAAAAUCUUUUCUAUGGGAAGAAAAUGACAGUACCAUAGGAAUAAGGACCGGCUAAUUACGUGCCAGCAGCCGCGGUAAUACGUAAGGUCCGAGCGUUGUCCGGAAUCAUUGGGCGUAAAGGGUACGUAGGCGGGUAAGCAAGUUAGAAGUGAAAUCCUAUAGCUCAACUAUAGUAAGCUUUUAAAACUGCUCAUCUUGAGGUAUGGAAGGGAAAGUGGAAUUCCUAGUGUAGCGGUGAAAUGCGCAGAUAUUAGGAGGAAUACCGGUGGCGAAGGCGACUUCCUGGCCAUAACCUGACGCUGAGGUACGAAAGCGUGGGUAGCAAACAGG